GGGGGACCCCGGUGUGGUGUCCUGGGAAAGCUUGGAAAGGGGGACCUUGCAGAGACACCCACCACCUCCUCCUGCGUCCCCGGGGCUGCUGAAUCACCGGCGAGGAGUCUGCAGGUGCUUGAAUGAGCCCGACACCAGCCUCUGCCCCUGGGUGCCCGACGUAACAACAAGGAUCCCACUGGUCGCCCCUGGCAUGCCCCACCAGCCUUCACCCUGAGUUGGCAGCCCCCACCCCUGCCAGCCGUCACCCUGCAUUGUUCCGGCUCCCCCGAAGUCCCCACGCUGCAGUGCGGCCAAGACCCCUCCCCACGGGGGCCACCCCCACCAAGUGCCCCUGGUGCCCGGGGUGGCCC
rnacentral:lncRNA from 1 species